UAGAUGCCCUGUAAACAAAUAUUCAAGCAAAAAUACAGUGUUUCUUAUUCUAACAAAUAAAUAAACCUGUAAAACUGUAUAAAUAAAAACGAUCUUCCAUUAUGAAAUAAAAAGAUCGAUUAUACCAAAAGAUAGUUUGAUAAAACUCGAUAGAUUUUAAUCGAUUUUUUGGGUAAAAAGAUCGAUCUUCGACUGAAAUCGAUUCGAAUCGUACAUCCAUAACAUAACCUAAUAAAAAAACAACAAGUGAACUAUAAACGUAAACGUGCUUCAUCCAAACUAUUUUAAUAAUUAAAACACUGAGAUAACGUAAAGAUAAGUGAUGCAAAUAAUUAUUUUAAGGAUAGAAUCGGUAAAAUAGUUCUUGUUAUGUUUGUGUUUUCAGUAUCUAUUUUAAGGUGAGUGAAUUUAAAACCAUGAUUCCUCGAAAAAAAAUAGGUUAUACUAAAAAAUAUUUUAAAAUUCAACCAAAAAAAAAGGAGCCAAAAUCUUAUUAAGUCAAUGUUACGCAAAUAUGACUUCAAUUUUGUACAUUAAACUGGAUUCUCUGUACAUCAUCAAAGUAGUAGUAUCUCUGGUAGUAUCAUUGAAGAUUUCUGUUCUGAUAAGUGUAGUUCCAGUGCUGAAAUUUCUUACAAUAUAGUAUUUAUAUAGGUAUUUAUGUAGGCUCUUCUAUAAUCAUUUAUUGUGUAUUUUUUAAGAGAAAGGUAUUUUUUAGAAUUAUUAGGUUCGAGAAUUAUCUAGACUUGGUGGUUCAGGAGUAGCACAAAGUACAAGGAAAAUGCUUUAUAAGGUUCUGGACAAUGAAAUUGCACAAAAAUAUUCUUGGGAUGGGGCCAAACAGAAGAGAAGUUUGAAAUCAUUGUUAGUGGCCAAAAGCAAUUUUAGACUCCAUGAAAGGUCAAUUUCAAGAGUCAAAAGAAACCGAUAUUAUCAAUAUAAUUAAAAUAUGGCUUGUAAAAACAAAAGAAAGAUUAAAAAAUACCAAGAAGGGUAGACAAGAGAAUAUAGAAACAUAGACAUAGAAGAUAAUAUCAAUGUAUAUCGUUAUAUUAAAAUAUUUUUAAUUAAUAAACAUAUAUUACUCAAGUUCGUCUUUAUCCUUACCUAUUAUUUUUAACCGUUCUAUUUAUUACUUAAUUUUUGAUUAUUACACACCAAAUUAUUUAAUUUCAGCAAAUUGUUUGUAGUGUGUUCCAGAUAUGAAUGUACU
rnacentral:lncRNA from 1 species